AUUCAUUUGAAAUGUUUAUAGUUAUGAUAGUUGAUAAUUAAGCAGUGUGUACUGGAAAUUUUACAGGGUUUGUUUAAUGAAUCUUGAUAUAUAUAUUAUAAAAAAAAUGUCUACCAUUAACUGGCAAAUGUUUCAAUAUGGCGUAAUUUGAGUUUUAAUUGUCUCUAUUGGCUGUCAUUUUCAAGGGUUUAAGGAGGUACCUAACACUACAGGGAGAUAACUCUGUAAAGUCAGCUAAACGUUUUAAUUAUGUUUUGUUGUAAAGGGAAUGUUAAGCUUAUCAAUGAUCAAAAUUUGUGUUUGUCAAACUGCUAUAUAACCAGUGUAAUUUUUCUGACAAAACGGUUGGUUCAAAAUUUUU
rnacentral:lncRNA from 1 species